rnacentral:lncRNA from 1 species
CAGGUAUGUUUGUGUAAGUAGAUAUAGGAAGAUGUGGUAUGAGUGCCAAUGAGACAACUCUCAAUCCAAAAGCCCUAAGGCUUGUUCCUUUGAAAACGACGCAAUGCACGGAAUAAAUUUCAAAGCAAAAACUGAAAAACUGUUUCUAAUGUUCAAGAUCAAUGCGGCAUACGUUAGAAAAGGUCGGACAGUUAAAUCAAGGGGUCACUUUGAUAUACAAGAGGAAAAAAAGAAGAAAAAAAAGCAAAACACACGGGACGGAGCUAUAGUGCUAUGCACUCGAUUUCAUUAUGAAAUUAAUAUUGCAUUUAUCGUGGGAGAACGC